UCUACUGAUACCAGCAGCAAUCAAAGAUGGGUGGUAUGUCCUCUUUCUUCAUGUCACCAGAUGGGAUGGCUACUUUGUGGAAAAAUGGAGAGAAGAGAAGACUACAGUGAUGGGACCAGGAAACAGGAUAUCUGUGGUCAGAAGUUGCCUCUUAGGACUAAACCAGUGAAAGAUGGGAAAAUCCAUGAUGGAAGCUUGCUUGAACUCUGAAGAAACACUGGCUUCUUUGUAAUCCAAUUUCCAUAUUAAAUGACAGUCCAGCCAGUACCAUGAAAGUUGAAAAUCACCAUGACAAUGACAAGAAGAGACCAAAAAAGGGCAGAAAAGGGGCUCCUUGAUUCCAGGGAAAUCUUCAACCCUCCUUGAUUCCAGGAAAAUCUUUAUCCCUUCCUAAGAAAAGCGUAAGUAUUCCUGCCUUUGCUUUCAAUUCCCAACCCCUUCAUUAAAGCUAUCCUACAUCUGUAACUUCCUGGUUCUCAGGAGCCAAGAAGUUGAUUGGUGGGCCACUCUCCCACUUCUCCAUUUUAUGACCAUCAAAUAAAGCCUGCACUUCUCAA
ensembl:lncRNA LINC02238 long intergenic non-protein coding RNA 2238